GAUGAACGCUGGCGGCGUGCCUAAUACAUGCAAGUCGAGCGAACAGACGAGGAGCUUGCUCCUCUGACGUUAGCGGCGGACGGGUGAGUAACACGUGGAUAACCUACCUAUAAGACUGGGAUAACUUCGGGACACCGGAGCUAAUACCGGAUAAUAUAUUGAACCGCAUGGUUCAAUAGUGAAAGACGGUUUUGCUGUCACUUAUAGAUGGAUCCGCGCCGCAUUAGCUAGUUGGUAAGGUAACGGCUUACCAAGGCGACGAUGCGUAGCCGACCUGAGAGGGGGAUCGGCCACACUGGAACGGAGACACGGUCCAGACUCCUACGGGAGGCAGCAGUAGGGAAUCUUCCGCAAUGGGCGAAAGCCUGACGGAGCAACGCCGCGUGAGUGAUGAAGGUCUUCGGAUCGUAAAACUCUGUUAUUAGGGAAGAACAAAUGUGUAAGUAACUAUGCACGUCUUGACGGUACCUAAUCAGAAAGCCACGGCUAACUACGUG
rnacentral:rRNA from 1 species